rnacentral:rRNA from 1 species
CCUACGGGUGGCUGCAGUGAGGAAUUUUCGGCAAUGGUCGCAAGACUGACCGAGCAACGCCGCGUGCAGGAGGACGCUUUUCGGAGUGUAAACUGCUUUUGUCUGGGAAGAGCGAGGACGGUACCAGAGGAAGAAGCCCCGGCUAACUACGUGCCAGCAGCCGCGGUAAUACGUAGGGGGCGAGCGUUGUCCGGAGUUACUGGGCGUAAAGGGCAUGCAGGCGGUCAGGCGCGUUUUGUGUGACAGCGGAGGGCUUAACUCUCCGAGGAUGCGAAAGACGGCGUGACUUGAGAGCGCGAGAGGGACACGGAAUUCCGGGUGGAGUGGUGAAAUGCGUAGAGAUCCGGAGGAACACCGAAGGCGAAGGCAGUGUCCUGGCGCGUAUCUGACGCUGAGGUGCGAAAGCCAGGGGAGCGAACGGGAUUAGAUACCCCAGUAGU